UACGAAGGGUGCAAGCGUUACUCGGAAUUACUGGGCGUAGAGCGUGCGUAGGUGGUUCGUUAAGUCUGAUGUGAAAGCCCUGGGCUCAACCUGGGAAUGGCAUUGGAAACUGGCGACCUAGAGUGCGGUAGAGGGUAGUGGAAUUCCCGGUGUAGCAGUGAAAUGCGUAGAGAUCGGGAGGAACAUCUGUGGCGAAGGCGACAUCCUGGACCGGUAUUGACGCUGAGGCGCGAAAGCCAGGGGAGCAAACGGG
rnacentral:rRNA from 1 species